rnacentral:rRNA from 1 species
AACGAACGCUGGCGGCAUGCCUAACACAUGCAAGUCGAACGAGACCUUCGGGUCUAGUGGCGCACGGGUGCGUAACGCGUGGGAACCUGCCCUUAGGUUCGGAAUAACUCCCCGAAAGGGGUGCUAAUACCGGAUAAUGUCUUCGGACCAAAGAUUUAUCGCCUUUGGAUGGGCCCGCGUUGGAUUAGCUAGUUGGUAGGGUAAAAGCCUACCAAGGCGACGAUCCAUAGCUGGUCUGAGAGGAUGAUCAGCCACACUGGGACUGAGACACGGCCCAGACUCCAGGGGGGGGAGGGGGGGGGGAUAUUUGGACAGGGGGCGAAAGCCUGCACCGACAAUGCCGGGGGGGGGAUGAGGGCCUUGGGGUUUUAAAGCUCUUUUACCCGGGAUGAAAAUGCCGGAACCGGGAAAAAAACCCCGGCCAAACCCCGG